GUAGCUCAGUGGUUAGAGCAUCUGACCGGUGUACGGAAGGUCAUGGGUUCGAAUCCCUGAAUACA